rnacentral:rRNA from 1 species
CGUGGAUAACCUACCUAUAAGACUGGGAUAACUUCGGGAAACCGGAGCUAAUACCGGAUAAGAUUUUGAACCGCAUGGUUCAAUAGUGAAAGACGGCCUUGCUGUCACUUAUAGAUGGAUCCGCGCCGUAUUAGCUAGUUGGUAAGGUAACGGCUUACCAAGGCAACGAUACGUAGCCGACCUGAGAGGGUGAUCGGCCACACUGGAACUGAGACACGGUCCAGACUCCUACGGGAGGCAGCAGUAGGGAAUCUUCCGCAAUGGGCGAAAGCCUGACGGAGCAACGCCGCGUGAGUGAUGAAGGUCUUCGGAUCGUAAAACUCUGUUAUCAGGGAAGAACAAACGUGUAAGUAACUGUGCACGUCUUGACGGUACCUGAUCAGAAAAGCCACGGCUAACUACGUGCCAGCAGCCGCGGUAAUACGUAGUGGCAAGCGUUAUCCGGAAUUAUUGGGCGUAAAGCGCGCGUAGGCGGUUUUUUAAGUCUGAUGUGAAAGCCCACGGCUC